UGAACGCUGGCGGCGUGCCUAAUACAUGCACGUCGAGCGAACAGAUGAGGAGCUUGCUCCUCUGACGUUAGCGGCGGACGGGUGAGUAACACGUGGAUAACCUACCUAUAAGACUGGGAUAACUUCGGGAAACCGGAGCUAAUACCGGAUAAUAUAUUGAACCGCAUGGUUCAAUAGUGAAAGACGGUUUUGCUGUCACUUAUAGAUGGAUCCGCGCCGCAUUAGCUAGUUGGUAAGGUAACGGCUUACCAAGGCAACGAUGCGUAGCCGACCUGAGAGGGUGAUCGGCCACACUGGAACUGAGACACGGUCCAGACUCCUACGGGAGGCAGCAGUAGGGAAUCUUCCGCAAUGGGCGAAAGCUUGACGGAGCAACGCCGCGUGAGUGAUGAAGGUCUUCGGAUCGUAAAACUCUGUUAUUAGGGAAGAACAAAUGUGUAAGUAACUAUGCACGUCUUGACGGUACCUAAUCAGAAAGCCACGGCUAACUACGUG
rnacentral:rRNA from 1 species